CAACACAUUUCACCACCAACAUGUAUUCCCCACUACUCGGAAGAUCCAAAGCUCUUCAAUGCAUAAGAAAAAUGUUACAUGUAAUUAGGGUGACAAAGUAGGACGACGUUUGCAUUGAUGCUGUAAAAUAAUUGCAGAGGCAUUUUCCCGAAAAAAUCCAUAAAAUAAAUGCUUUUUAGGUACAUUACUGUUAAUUGAUUGGUGGAAUUUUUGCUUUCUUGUUUUUGUAUUGGGUCGCGUACAUGUAUGUCUAUCGUGUUAUGUGUCUCGUCACCGUGGGGUAGAGAAAAACGUAAUUUCGGUCUCUUUGUGUGUUGUGACAUGUGGAGAGAUUGACAAUAAAGCUGACUUUGACUUUGACUUUGAAUUGCAAUAUAAUUCAAGGUUGAUCUCGUUCAAAUUUAACCGUGUCCAAAUACAUCUCAAAAUAAUCCGUUUAGUACACAUUUGUAUGUGAAUGUCAAAUGAGAAAUUUAAAAUCAAUUCGGCACGCCCGAAAACUUUUUCUUUUUGCCAUCUUGGAGAUAAUUGAGAAUGAGAUGAGUGAAAAAAUAUACAAUCAAAAAUUGGCAAUUCGUACAUAGUUUAUUCACAAGCAAUUCAUGAAGCUUUUUUCCCCAAUUUUGAUAAAUACUUUUUUUAUUUGGUUACUCAGAUAUUCCCAAUUCAGAUGAUGCACAUUUUCUGGGAUACAUUGUACGGAGCAUUUGAAGUGAUAAUAUUUUUUACUUAAUUCAGAUGUGAUUCUAAUGUUAAUGUUAAUAGCUAUAGUUUACUUUAGGUUAUUUUAAUUCACUCUGUAUCUUCGCAGUUCACAAAACUAGUUUGGUUUUCUUUCAAGCACACGAUAUACUCUGCUAAUUUGUCACCAAGGCACUUUGAGCAUUAUGACUUCCUCUGAGAGGUAGCACUUCUCAGUACUGAGCACCAGGAAACCAAGCAAACAGUGGCAACAACAACAAUCAAAUACUGUAUUAUUAAUCAAGAAUAAAAAUGCCCUUUAAAGUGCAUUUCUUUUAUCAAGCGCAGUAGGCUCGAGUCUAUCAGUAUGCUGUCACACCCGUCCGUCCAUGUUGGACAGGCAACGUGUUGGGACAAGCUUAGAAUGCUUCCAAAUGGGACCAAAGUGCAGCAGGAAAGGCAAAGAAGGGGCGGGACACCUUUUCAAGUCAAGUCAAGUCAAGUUUAUUUGUAUAGCCCUAAAUCACAAGCAGUCUCAAAGGGCUUCACAUAGACAGAAAUUGACAAUUAUUCUCAAAGCAUCGCCUGAUCUUAAGCUCCCUUUUGUGCCCAAGCUCCCUUUUGUGCCCAAGAGCCACGUUUGACUUUGAAAACUGACACAUGGCUCAGGAAAUUUGUACUACUACAAAUGUAAAACUGAGAAAGGGCAUUUGUUUGCAAAAUCAUUUAUUUAAAUUUCUACAACUAUAAAAUGCACUGUGGCACUCAUUCACCGCAUAGCCUUAUUUGAAAAGCCGUUUUUCUUUUUUCUUUUUACACUCUGUGUCAGGGUUUUCCAAACUAUCUUGAUCUAUGAUUAUGUCGGAAUGUAUGUAACCAGUAAUAAAUAACCUAGCUUGUUCCAUCCUACACAAUGUCGUAAAACAUCCCCUGCUCUGCUAAUCUAGAGGUCAAGGGCUUUUUAACUUGUCUAUUCAGUCUACUAUCACCCCCACCCUUUUUCUCUUAAUAAAGAUGCUCUUGUGGGAAGCGAGAGUCAGACUUCAUUCGAGCAUCGCUGUAAACACAGCGACGAGUGAACUCUCCACCUGCAGGUGCCCAAAACGACUAACUUGUCUCCGUGUGGUUCUUGCAAAAUAAGUUAGAGUGAGCACCACUCUAACAUUUUGGUGCCGAAACCCGGGACCCUCAUACCCGCCAUCUGACUGACGGAGGAAGACGUGCUGCAUUGUCGACAAGCCAGCGUCCAUUAGGAGGACCUGGAAAAGAAAGUCCUGGGAAGAGAACUUCUUCGCUGGGCCAGCAUCUUAGGUCUGCCUUCGUCUGACAGAGGUGGUUGACGGGACCCGGAAAUGCAACGAACCAGGGGUCAAGUUGCCCAUGUAAAGCCCUGACCGCUUGAUGCACCACCACCACCACCACGGGGACCCAACACGGCUAAAGCGAAGGAGCACCGGCUUCGCGUUAACUGAGCACUUUUUCGGAAGGAAGGACGCACAGCGGGAGGAGUUUGAGGUGUCGGACAUUUGGAAGUUCACCCCAAUGGUUGGUUCCCGGAAACUCCGAGCGCUUGCUCGCCGGCCGGCCGAGCUGGGACUGAGGUCAAGGGCGAUCACUGGAGAGCGUUACGGAGGAAUGCCAGCUUGAAUAUCAGUGGGUGGAAAUACACCAGCUAUUGAGUUAAUUUCAAAUAAUGAUACUGAAGACAAUGUACUGUCUCAUUAAAUAGGAACUAUAGACAGAACGUAGCUCGAAAAUAGGAUGAGUUGCAGGACUUACAAUAUAAAGACGAGAUCGCUGUUACUAGGAGAAUUUGAAGUUUGGUAAACAAACGUUACUAGUGAAUGGAUGGCAGCAGCUACAUUUGGAGAUAGUCUUACAAGUUUGAUGUCCCAGUUUGUCACUCUCCAGUGCCAGGAUCCCUGAAAACUCGAUCCCGAGACUCUGCCUGCAGCCAUGGACGUCUACAAAACGGUGCCUGGCCUUGAGGCACCUUUGACCUUUGGCAAGGACAAAGAAAGACUGUUGUUGUACUUGUAGGGGGACAAGUACACUCUGGAAGAAAGACGACAUCCUCGGGGACGAGAAAAGACAGUGAGAAGAGGAGGAACUCACAAUGUUGAAAAUGGACUCAUUUGAAUAAUGGACUCAGUCGAGAGUGAUGGAUGGGUUGGCUCUGAAGCAACAACAAAAGAACACCAAAUUGCAGCAGAAGACAUAUGGACAUGAAGUGGCCGACGGCCAAAUCGCGCUCCUUGCUGUGGCGUGGCUAAACUUGGUGGGGCUUGAGUCAAAGUGGACAGGAGCUUCAUUGUGCACUGAGUUUGACAGAACUGAGGAGAUUUGAUAAAAUUUAAUAAUGCGUAGCGCUACAGAGAGAAGCAUCAUGGUCAGAGUUUGAACAGAUUGGACAAAACAAAUAGGCUAAAACGGUGAGAAACAAGAGCGAGAUCUGAUGGAUUGACUCAUCAGGCGUAAGAAGUAGAAAUUGAGUUAGAUACAUUUUAGAAUAGGACAUUUGGACUAAAGUGAAUUCAGUCAAGAGGAAGCUAGGUUGCUCACUGUACCUACUCAAUAAAAUAGUAAGUUCGUUGCACCACAGUGGAGUUUGGGUGGUCAGAAAGUUGGAUACGUUAAAUUUUUGACUUUCACACAAUCAUGCAUAGGAGUCGCACAAGGCGACAGUUAACAAGACAAUGACUGUCAUAGGGAUCACUUACGACUGCACCGACAUGGAAAAGUAGAAGCAAGGGAGUUGAGUAAGGGAUUAUAUGCAGAACAGUCCGCUAUACAGUUACCAAUAGGAGGUUCUAUCAAAAGAAGCUACAUGAGAGAUGUAUAGAAUCCCUUUGUCUGUGGUCUGUGUUCGUGCGUAAUCUCUGUAAAGUUGUGUCAGGCUGUUGUCGUUUGUCUGAGCCUUGGGUGCGCGCUCGGUGUGUGUGCGUUUAUGUACACAACCUGUGUGGGUGCGAACGUGUUAGGAAGAAGACGGCAUGGAUAAGGGAAUCUCCUUUAAGACAGGAGGCAAUAAAUGGGAAAGCCCCUGUCAUAAACGGUCUUUGGUUAGGAGGAAUCAUUAGGAAGUGCUCAAACUCUUCUUUCAAACACUCCUAUCUGCCUCGUUAAAAAGGGCAUUACAAUUGACUACAAGAGUUGCAAAGGGCAGAUGAAGAACAGUCCUUGGCAGAUUAUAUGAUCAGGUCCCUCAAACCGAAAGAUAUGUCCAAUGCAAAUUUACUGCCGCCUGAUCUUUCCUCCUCACAGGUCGACAACCCCAUCAAUCCAGGAGACUGGGUCUACAUCAGGGUCAUCAAAGGAAAGAACUGGGCCAGCCAUGGUGGGAGGGACCAUUCCAAGUCUUGCUGACUACCCCCACCGCAGUGAAGAUCGCUGAACGACCCAGCUGGAUUCACCUUAGCCACUGCAAGCUACAAGGAGUGCUGGACCCCUCAUUUCGGGACGGUGGCAAAGUCUGCGAACAACGAUCCCAACUCCGCUAGGCGGGGGUAUGUCUCGGUGUUCCUGUCAUCUUAGUAGCAACGGGGCUCCACAUGCCAGGUGGAUCCUCUGCUGCGUUGUGGUUGGAGCAUGCUAUGGUCUAUGGACACAUCUGAACAGACCAAGUGAUAAUGUUGACCGUGGGAAACGAUGGUCACACGAUGAGAACUUUGAGGACUGGUCAUGAGACCCCAGAAACCCAUACGAAACCAACGUUUGGUACCGGUAUGUGAAGGUCACUGUGAGAGCGCACACACAGGUGGGAUGUUAUGUGUGUGUUCAAAAACUCCCCUUGCUCCACACAAGUUCACUUGGAGGCCAGAGCAAUGAAUGUCACUGAAGCGAAAUGUAUGGCAUCCAUGGGAGGAGAUUGAUAUCAACACCGUACUGUCGGUCAGUGACGCUACCCCUACCGCCCUGGACUCGCAGGAAUGAAUCUGUGAUCAAACUAUUUUGGAUUAAUCCCAAUGUGACUGUUGGAGGACGACAGAUGCCACAAGUGGCCUAAACCAGGACGCUACCUGGAAUGGACUACACGUGUUUCAUCCAAGAAAACAAGACCCACGGAUGCAUUCACGACAACUGCUCUCCAGGAGGGAACUGGAUGGGAGCUUUGGACAUCACCGCUGUGUGCCAGGAUGGGAGAGCCAUUUCAAGGUGUAAGGGCUCUCCUGCCAACAUGGCUGUACCAUUGGACGGGUCCUACUUCAUUCGGAACGGAUCGUGGCUUUAUUUAUAUUUUCUUAUUGAUAGCAUUCUGGUCGCCUAAGGCAGAGGGACCGUGUGAGACUUUUCCUGCGAUUUAACAUCGGCCAGCAGGUUUUUAGAUCACACAAUAAGUUUGAACUGGAGUAUUGAGGGAAAACCUCUUCUUCGCUGGAAGUUAUUGCUAUCAUUGGUUGUUUUUGUCAUGUUUCACCCUACACGUUCCCCAGCACGUCCGCUGUCGUCUCAGUUUUUUAUUGAUCUUUUUUUUUGUUAUUAGUUUUAUUAUUUUUACUGUUCUUCUUUAUAUUUUCUUCCUUGUGUUUGGUUGAUCGGGUUCACAUAAUCAUAUGAUAAAACAGGAGGGAUAUGUCAGUGUUUUCCAAACUAUCUUGAUCUAUGAUUAUGUUGGAAUGUAUGUAACCAGUAAUAAAUAACCUAGCUUGUUUCAUCCUACACAAUGUCGUAAAACAUCCCCUGCUCUGCUAAUCUAGAGGUCAAGGGCUUUUUAACUUGUCUAUUCAGUCUACUAUCACCCCCACCCUUUUUCUCUUAAUAAAGAUGCUCUUGUGGGAAGCGAGAGUCAGACUUCAUUCGACCAUCGCUGUAAACACAGCGACGAGUGAACUCUCCACCUGCAGGUGCCCAAAACGACUAACUUGUCUCCGUGUGGUUCUUGCAAAAUAAGUUAGAGUGAGCACCACUCUAACACUCUGUUCGUCAUUAUUUCAUUCUCUUAGGAUCACAAAGCACACUGGCUGCUAACUACCGCAUCUCAUACUCUCUUUGUACUAUACAUUGUUCAGUACAUGGUCUGUUGGAGUGUGAGAGGCCUAGUAUCAGAUUUGUUGCAUUUCCUUUCUUUCAUAAUCGACGGGACAAGGCAGAAUUCACCCACUCAUCUAAAUUUGAAGCGCAGCAUUAGCACCAUCUACUGGAAUCUGGAUCUCAAAUUCACCUGCUUGUCUUACAUUGCUUACUCAUGCUUGAAAAGUCAUAAACAAUCCAUCAUGACAAGUUUAAAAAGAGCAACUUUGGCGAGGGGACAUAAGCUAUUGCUGGAGCCUUGCUUCGCAUCACUUCUAAUACAUUUUCUUCUCCUUUGCAUUUCGGCUGCUCCUUCAUUUGGCGAAAGAUUCUUGCACAAAAGGCCAAGAAAUCGAUGAGGUUUUUUUUCUUUGCGACAGCUCAAGUAACCUUUGUGGGAACCUCCCGUGUAAUUGGAACCCUGUUACUAGUAGAAGAAGGUAAUUAUGUACUACGAAUAGUAACAUUGUCUUCCCUCUAAGGUGACCUGGAGGGAAAGGUGAAAUGGUUGGACAACUAUCAGAAGGUCAAGCAACUGAGAGACGCACUGGUGUGGCUGCCUGUGUGGGAGUGGGCCAAGCGGGCCUUCAUUCCCGAGGAAGGGUGCACCUUCACGGUUCUUGACCAGCCCAUCUCUCUGGACCGACUCCGGCUCAGGAACAUCGAUCAGCUCAAUGCCUCAACAUCAGGGCUGCCUCAUUCUUUUAUAAUCACGCACCAGAACCGCUACCAGCAGUGUAUUGGUGCGUUUGUCCUUCAGGCUGUGUCCGAGUCUUCCAAGAGAGCAUGGCUAUCGAAGAUAGAGGAGGCCGUAUCGGCCCUGCUUAAGCUGGACUCUCGGCAGCCACGAGUAAAAAACGAUUCACUGUGGUUGGAAUCUUCUCAGAUCUGAAAUGUCCCGCUACACGAGAUGCCAUUGCACAUGCCCAGUUGUGCGCCGGCACUUCACUCUUCCGUGUCACCAAUGACUAUGAUUCCACUAGCAUGUCGUACGUACACAGUCAACUGCUGUAGUAGUCUACCAAUAAAACUUUG